GGCCCACCCUGCGGGCAAGUGGCGCCUUGGGGGCGGCUGAGCCCCCUGUUGCACCCUAAGAUGUGCAGGGAAACGUCGUGUUCUUGGGCAGGCGUUUUGGGCUACGUCCGCCCGCGAGGCUGGGGGGAAGGUGCGCGGCGAGGAGACGCGCCCGUGGCCGCGGCGACAGAGAGCGACGGCAGGAAUUUAAUCUUUCCCUGCUGCUAUUGCAACAGGCCGAGCUGCUGUAAAAGCGGGGCAAGAGCAAGAGAACAGAUGCACAGGAACAUGCCCUUUGCCGUUGCUGCCGGCUGUCGUCCUCUUCAGCGAUGGCUCGUGUGUGGAGAUGGAAGGUGCUGCCUUUUUGUCCUUUCCUUCUUGCUGUGCUGGACAGAUUUAAGGGUGGAUGAGCUUCUUUCAGGUUUUGCUUUCACUUAAUGGGCCAAAUUAGGAGCUGCUGAAUGAGUUUCUGAGGCAAAAAUUUAAUUUGAGAAACACUGCUGUUAUGGUGUACUGUGGUCAGGAAAAACAGGAACUGUUUGGCUCCAUGGGCAAAUGUGAAUAUUGGUUUAUUAUGUAUGAAUAAUUUUCUGAGCUACCCACUGAAAUCGGGACAUUGUUUUGACUGGGUGCUGUACAAUCACUGAUGAGUAAGUCCCUAUUUCAAAUAGUUUAUAUUUUAAAUAAAUAGAGUGAAAAGGACAGCAGAUAUACAAAGGUGAAGUGGUAUGUCAAAGGCAUCAGAGCUGGGAAAAACCCACGUUUCCUGUUUAGUGAAGGGCAUGCAAGCUGCAUUCGGGACCCUCUGACUCCAGCUUCAUGGUGAUGCCUGCCUGCUCCUCCCCUCCUUUUUAGGCAUGGCUAUGUGGAGCAGCUCACUUCUCCACCCACAAUUCAGUCCAUCCUGCCUUUGGUGAGGCUAUCCUCAGAGGUUCAGAGCAAUUCUUUUAUUUCAUUUUUGGUGAUUUUUCUUACAGUAUCCCAAAAUAUGUUAUCUCUUGGGUGAUGGAAAUGAAAAGAUAUGGAGCUUGUCCCAUAGAUCUGCAUGAGGUAAUGGUAACCAGGAUAGCAUGUCCAAGGGAGACGGCAUGGCAAGGAAGGACAGAGGUGUCUGCAGAGGGAUCUGUCUUCUGCAAAAAUGUUUAAAAGAUGCCAGGCGGUGGCAUCGCAAGUCAGUCUUGCCAUCUCUGCUGAUUCACUUCUAAAUCUCAAGGUGUCUACCCCAGAGGCAAGUUUGAUUUAUGCUCCAUUUAAAAGACCCCAGGUGCUGGUCUACCUAUGGAAAUACACACCUUGGCUUUGACAGUGGCUGAGCCUUCAUCCAGAACCCCGAGAAAUCUGUAUCCACCCAGAAGGACUGGACUCAUCCCCAAAGGUCUUUGUAGCAGCCUUGCAAAGAGAUAGGAGAAGGCUACAGUUCAUUUGCUAAAGCUGUAGAAACACAUGCAAUUGAAGGCUUUUUGCACAGGUUUAGCUGGAGAGCAGAGGUGGAGCUUUCUCUUCUCAAGAAAGGAUUGGCAAAAUUUGGACAUAGCCUACAAUAAGCACAGAAAGAGACCUGCCUUGAGGACGUCCCUCGCUUUGGGAGGGCAGGCAGGGUGGUAGUGACGGCCAGUAACCAAGACCAAGGGUGGUGGGAGCUGGGGGUUUUGCAUAAACCCAGGUCUUGCCUUACAGGGUCUGCAAAUUGCUCUUCUCACACCUCAGUUUACGUCAGGCUCACUUUCUCUUCUCAGCAAUACAAACCUGUGAAGGGGAAAAACGAAAUGCAAGUGAAUAUAAAGGUGCAUUGAAGAAAAAAUUUGAGAGGUAUUCGCCAGGUUAUGGUCAUUGUCUUGGUGAGAGCCACAUACGCCACCUCCAGAGAGAAAGCCAUCCUCGCAGCUGUGGCAAUGCUGAGGAGUAAGGAGGCACAACCCUCUCUCCCUGCAAUGUCUAGGCUGUCUGUAUGCGGUGGUGAGUCAUAUUGGUUUUCUUUGACAGGAUCCGGCCUAAGUUUUCCUUACCUCUGCUAAUCUCUCAUCUCCUUUCGUCCCAUCCCCUGUCAUGUUGAGCCAAAUUGGAUGACUUAGCUUUGCUAGUAGCUGGCACUCCCAGCAGCUGUUCUUUAGAAAUGCAAAGGGACCAGAUUUUUGCUUGGCUGAGGCCUGCUUGUGGGCACAAAGAUUGUUUUGGAGAGGAUGGGGCCAUCUAUGCCCCAGUCCAUGAUUAGAGCUGAGAAUUACCAAGGCAAUGACGGUAAUAACGACAAUGAGACAGGUAAUCAUAUUAGUAUUAUUAUUACUAACAUUAUAAUCAUUAUAUCAUUACUGCUACCUACUCUGCUAGGGUUUGGUAGACUCAGAUCAUUUUAACUUGACUGAAACUCUGGUUUUACAGGUCAUGUUAACACUUGCAAAUAUACCUACAAUGAUUUUUGUGUGAACUGUCUGAUCUUUAGUAUUUCAAACCAAGAGGAAUGUAUUGUACCUCUGUCAGAAGCUUUGGGAAUGUUCAGACACAUUCUUCUGGGCUGUUGUUUUUAUAAAUCUACAUAAAUCAUUAAAAUACUUGUUUUAAUGAAUGCAAAUUUUGUGCCACAAAAAGGAAGUCAGUUGGCUGGAGGCUUUCUGAAAGCUGGAGUUGCUCCAUCAACAGAAAUUGCUGAGAGAUAUUUCUUCAAGUUUAGUCCUGUAAGUCACGUGGGACUUCAGAUGAUCAUGACGAUCUUUGGGGUAAAUCUGUGCAGACAUAAACCUUAUUAACUUCAGUCAAGUAAAACUAUACUAAUUUUUCAUAGAUCCAUAAAGCUGACUAAGAAGGAAGUGGAACUGUACGUUCAUCAUGUAAAGUCCAAUUCUGGAAACAUUUACAUUUUUAAUAUAGUUAUGUGUGCCUGUAUUAACAAGAUUGGGUUAAUAUAUUCAUAAACAAUUUAUUUAAAGACCCAUAUGGUCUAACACAGAUAGAUAGAUUUCUGGUGCCAGAAUUGUCAUUUCCUAAUAUUGCUGUUAUAAAUACUUGCAUGAUUCAAGUCUCAUGUUGCAGAACAAGCAACAGAUCUCCUGGAAAGAAAUACAGAACUGCAUUUUUUUUCCUAAAAUAAGAUGUUUUUUAGAGUUUUCUUAUACCUCUAAUUUGAGCCAGAAACUUAUUCACAAAAAUAUAAUAAAUGGCCAAUAAGGAUCAUUUCAAAAGCACUGGCUAGUGUUGGCUUACAGUGGGAACUGCGCUUAGGAAAAUCCCACCUGGAAUUGUUACCAGACUUUUAUCCUGCCUCUGUAAGACCCCACUGAUUUUGAGAACUAGAGCAGUAUAACCCCUUCUGCUCAGCUUUGUGAGCCAUAUUUAUCACUAUGAGGACAAGCGACCGCUUAAAUGAAAGGAUCAGGUAGAAGCUUUAGAGGAAACUCUUCCACAGCUCGUGAUUAAAUAGCGGCAAUCAUUGCCAGAGGGCAUUACGGAGCCUGAAAGUAUAACUGCGUUCAAAGAGGUAUUAAUCAAAUUCAUGGAUGACAUGCUCUGGUGGCUUUUCACCUGAUAAACUCAAUGCAAACCUCUAGCUCAGGAAGUCCCUGAACCACAGCAUGGCCUGUUCUCUUCCUCCUUGUAAAACAGCCCCUGUUGCUGGCCACGGGAUGCCGAGUGGAUGGUCUGAGCCUGAAGGGCACUUCCUGUGCACUCGUGCCAUACAUGCCAUAUAGCUCUAACCCCGCUGGGUCUAUGUUAUCAGGAAAUAUUGGUGCCGAUUCAGACAAGAGUCAGGGUGGUCCAGAAUGCCUGGCAACUCUUAAGUCUCUUGAUUUGCAGAUGUCCAGCGUGAGAUACCCCUGAUGGCCGGAUGCUACCUGCCUGCCUCAGCCUGAAGGUCUGAGCAAGGUGGAGAGAAAUUGAAGUGAUUUCUGGCACUCCAGCUGAGUUUUAUUUGAAUGAAAUAUGACGUUACACUGGGCGGAAACAUAGAAAAGUCCAAAGAAUAUAUGAUCCAAAGACAAAAAAAAGUUGAAUCUCAGUGCACAAACUAUAGCUAUGUUCCUGCAGAGCCUGAAAAGCAAAGGACAUUUGGCAACUCUGAGUUCAUAUCAAGGACAAUUCAGGCUUGGGAAUUAAGAGAGAAAUUUUGACUGUGAUGAUGGUAAGCACAAUGUUACUCUAACUGUUACUUUUCAGCAGAAAGCAGCCCAAACUGGCGAAGAGACGCCACGGGAAAGUACGUUCUGGAUACAAGAAGGGCAGUGCUGUUAACAUAAAUACCCUAGUCGUGCUCCGGUCCCGCUCCUCCUCGUUCACUCAGGCCAGUAGUUCCUCAAGGCAAUGAGUGUCUCCUUUUAUUAUGCUGAUAUAUUGCACCUUGCACAGGAGCUCCUGAGCUGGAAAUGAUCAAGGUCCAAAGGAGAGAUUGGACUCUGUGUAAUCAGGAUUCUGGAGGCAGAUUGCAUCCUGCUGGGAACUGCCUGCGCGGGCCAGGAGCAGAGCCAGCAUGGCUGCGAGCAGCCUUGCAGGUCCCUCCAUCCAGAGGAUGCCCCGCUGCGCUGGGCCACAUGUUCGCUCGCGUCAUAGCUUUCACGUAAUCUGUGUGGUAUGCUUAUUACCAUGCAGCUCUUUCUUGCCCAGGUGAAGCCCCGGGUCACAGCCCCAUGGAGCAUGUCCCGUGUACUUCACCUACACGUGCACUGGGCUCCUGAGCCCGUUUCCUGAACGCUGUGUUGUCAACUCGAUAUGCUGUCCGUGGCAGACGACGGGUGCCGUGGGCUGGCUACCAAGAGGCUCGGGUUCUGACGCAUGGCCACGCAAUGACAUUUCAAAGCGAGACUGCAUUUGGCCCAGCUGCUGCUCUCUUCCGGUCUCCGUAUUGAUGCUUUGUAAAUGCAGACUUUACACACUUUAUAUUGCUGCUGGAGUUGCUUAAUGCUGCAGUAAGUACUGUGCAGGCACAUGCCUUGCACCAGACCCUGCCCUAUCUUCUCAUAACCCCAACCAUGGCAGCAGAACUCACAUUUCACAGGUACUCAAUGACUGUAGAAGCAGGUCCCAUCGAUCGCAGCUCAGGCCACGCUUGAAUGCAUUUCCGCUCCCC